UUUGUGGUCCACAGACAGGGAAACAGGGGCACGCUGGAGGCAUGGAGCAUCCACACAAGGAGGACGGUGCAUCCUGGGAGUGAAUGGGAAAGUGUAGCUCUGCCAGAAGUUAUAGCAUCUGGGACAUCAAUGUGAGCAGAGGGCGAAAGCUGGAAAUCAUUACAUGGCACAACAGAAGGCAAAACAUUCACCUGGAGAAGGCAAUUAGCUCAGCAGGUCUUUUAGUGUCAUUAAGGGAUUAUUGUCCUGUUAUUACAUGUCCCAUCAUUAAGGGAUUAUUGUCUCAGUGGUUCCUUGACCUCCUGGGCAUGGCUGGAUGGUGUCACAUCAGACCCCAUAGAAGGUGUUGUUAGGGUGGGUGGGGUAGUGUGAGUUGUCCUCUCUUUCAGAGACCACCAGCAAAGCAAAUCGUUGUGUUAGGGAUGUGACCAAUUGGUUUGGAGGUGUCCAGGGCCAAGCUGAAUGAGAAACCUCAUCCAGUGCUUGAUUGAGCAGUCUGCAACCCUGCCUACGGCAUGGAGAUUGGAAGUGGACAGUCUCUGGGGUCCCUUCCAACACAAGCCAUUCUAUGAUUUCUUGCCCACGUGGUCCUAUGGGCAUCCCAGUGACCAUAUAUAGCCAACUCUCUGCUCUCCACCUCCUAUAAAAGAUGCUGGCUGCUGGUUUCCGUGCUGCCAGCCGUCCCGGAGCUGUGCGUUCUGCAUUUCCCUUUUAGGAAGCAAGAUUCUUGGACAUAGGGCAGUAAAAAGAAAACAUCUCUCAGCUCUUAUUUAUCACCUCUCCUUAUAACUGACCACUCUCUAAAUAGAGGGACCGCUUGCAGCCCAGGAGUGCAGCACAACGGAGCCAGAGGUGCCUUUGGCCCCUGCUGUCCUGGAUGGACUUCCAUGCAGAUCUCCCCACCUCGCUGCUAUUUAUGGGGUCAGCUCCAGGCAAGGAACCCAGCUGAAGUCCUGGUGCUUACUGCUCACCGGCCAAGCCAAACAGCGGAGUGAUGCAAUAUUGCACAAACUUUCCAGCCAGGGAAAUUAAUCUUUGCAAUAGAGGAAAAAAAAAAAAAAAAAAAAAAAAAAGCAGUGAGCACAGAAGACAGCUCAGGGCGUCUGUCUUGGAGGGGAUGUCUGUUAAAUGGGCUCAGCACAUGCUGUUCUGGCUGCUUCCGCUGAACUCUGCUGCUGGCGAGGUUGGAUGGGACCCUGUGCAACCUGAUCUGGUGUCUGACAGCCCUGCCUGCAGCAGGAGAUGUUCAGCUCAUCACAUAAUGAGAUCCCACCAGAGGAACAACAUUAGGAUGCCUCCCAGACAGCCAAGGCCUUCAAAAUGCAUGGAGGAGGAGCAGCUCCAUCAAGGUCAUGCAUAGCUGAGCAUCCCAGAGGGGGAAGGUGAGGACGCUGGGUGACACCAUCGCUUCCCCAAGGCAGAGAUGCACAGACAUUUUGAAGUGUUCCACCAGAGUUUGGGUGUUCCUCUCUUCGGUUGCCUUUUCCAAGGGUCCAGACAGAAGCACUACUGUUCUCCCUGUUUUGUUGAAGGGAGUGACUAAGUCCUCCUCCUGCCUCCUGCCCACAAAGUGGAAUGUUGCUCUUGUCACUGGCAUCAAAAACAGAACGGGACUGUGAAUUGAAGAGCUCUGGGAGGGAGGGUGAGAAGCACCAGAAGCUGUGGUGCAAUAGGAAAAUGUCCCCAUUGCUGCAUACAACAGAGUCCAGCCUCUCCUACCCUCAGGUUCAUGCUGGGAUCACGGGGCCAUGUUUGAGCACUGUGAUGGGCAGAGGAGACGACAGAGACGUGAUGGAGAUCACCUCCCCUGGGUUCUGGGCUACA
ensembl:lncRNA